GACGAACGCUGGCGGCGUGCUUAACACAUGCAAGUCGAACGGAAAGGCCCCUUCGGGGGUACUCGAGUGGCGAACGGGUGAGUAACACGUGAGUAACCUGCCCUUGACUUCGGGAUAACUUCAGGAAACUGGGGCUAAUACCGGAUAGGAAUCCUUGCUGCAUGGUGGGGGUUGGAAAGCUUCGGCGGUUUUGGAUGGACUCGCGGCUUAUCAGCUUGUUGGUGGGGUAGUGGCUUACCAAGGCUUUGACGGGUAGCCGGCCUGAGAGGGCGACCGGCCACAUUGGGACUGAGAUACGGCCAGACGCCUACGGGAGGCAGCAGUGGGGAAUAUUGCACAAUGGGCGGAAGCCUGAUGCAGCAACGCCGCGUGCGGGAUGACGGCCUUCGGGUUGUAAACCGCUUUCAGCAGGGGCGAAGCUUGUGGUGACGGUACCUGCAGAAGAAGCACCGGCUAACUACGUG
rnacentral:rRNA from 1 species